AACGAACGCUGGCGGCGGGCUUAACACAUGCAAGUCGAACGGAAAGGCCCUGCGUGUGUGGGGUGCUCGAGGGGCGAACGGGUGAGUAACACGUGAGUAACCGGCCCUUGACUUUGGGAUAACUUCAGGAAACUGGGGCUAAUAUCGGAUAGGAUCUCCUGCUGCAUUGUGGGGGGUGGAAAGUUGCGGCGGGUGGGGAUGGACGCGCGGCUGAUCAGCUUGUUGGUUGGGGAGUGGCUGACCAAGGCUUUGACGGGUAGCCGGCAGGUGAGGGGGACCGGCGACAUUGGGACUGAGAUAGGGACCAGACUCGAACGGGAGGCAACAGUCGGGAAUAUUGCCCAAUGAGAGGAAGCGUGAUGAAGCAGCGCCGCGUGCGGGAAGACGGCCUUGGGGUUGUAAACAGCUUUAGCCUGUGACGAAGCGUUAGUGACGGUAAUGGGUAAAGAAGCACCGGCUAACUACGUG
rnacentral:rRNA from 1 species